AUACGUAGGUGACAAGCGUUAUCCGGAUUUACUGGGUGUAAAGGGCGUGUAGGCGGUUUAGCAAGUCAGAAGUGAAAUUCCCGGGCUUAACUUGGGCGCUGCUUCUGAAACUGCUUUACUUAAGUGCUGGAGAGGAUAGUGGAAUUCCUAGUGUAGCGGUGAAAUGCGUAGAGAUUGGGAGGAACACCAGUGGCGAAGGCGACUUACUGGACUGUAACUGACGCUGAGGCGCGAAAGUGUGGGGAGCAAACAGGAUUAGAUACCCUGGUAGUCCACACUGUAAACGAUGAAUGCUAGGUGUAGGGGGUAUCGACCCCUUCUGUGCCGCAGUUAACACAAUAAGCAUUCCGCCUGGGGAGUACGGCCGCAAGGUUGAAACUCAAAUGAAUUGACGGGG
rnacentral:rRNA from 1 species